UACAGAGGUGGCAAGCGUUGUUCGGAAUCAUUGGGCUUAAAGCGUGUGUAGGCGGAACAGAAAGUGUUUUGUGAAAUCCCUCGUCUUAACCGAGGAAUUGCUGGGCAAACUACUGUUCUUGAGGCAAGCAGGGGUGCGUGGAACUCUUGGUGGAGCGGUGAAAUGCGUAGAUAUCAAGAGGAACGCCUGUGGUGAAAACGGCGCACUAGGCUUGUUCUGACGCUGAGACACGAAAGCGUGGGGAGUGAACGGGAUUAGAUACCCCCGUA
rnacentral:rRNA from 1 species